UCUCCGUUGGUGAACCAGCGGAGGGAUCAUUGCUGGAAGCGUCUCACGGCGCACCCAGAUACCCUUUGUGAACCUAUACCUAUCUGUUGCCUCGGCGCAGGCUGGGAGCUUCUGUAAACUCCCCCCCGCGGACUCACCUCUGCGCGGAGCAGGCCCGCCGGCGGCCCUUCUAUAAACUCUUGUUUACCUUACGUAUUACUUCUGAGUUAUAAACAAAACAAAUGAAUCAAAACUUUCAACAACGGAUCUCUUGGUUCUGGCAUCGAUGAAGAACGCAGC
rnacentral:misc_RNA from 1 species